rnacentral:rRNA from 1 species
UGGGGAAUUUUGGACAAUGGGCGAAAGCCUGAUCCAGCAAUGCCGCGUGUGUGAAGAAGGCCUUCGGGUUGUAAAGCACUUUUGUCCGGAAAGAAAUCCUUGGCUCUAAUACAGUCGGGGGAUGACGGUACCGGAAGAAUAAGCACCGGCUAACUACGUGCCAGCAGCCGCGGUAAUACGUAGGGUGCAAGCGUUAAUCGGAAUUACUGGGCGUAAAGCGUGCGCAGGCGGUUUGCUAAGACCGAUGUGAAAUCCCCGGGCUCAACCUGGGAACUGCAUUGGUGACUGGCAGGCUAGAGUAUGGCAGAGGGGGGUAGAAUUCCACGUGUAGCAGUGAAAUGCGUAGAGAUGUGGAGGAAUACCGAUGGCGAAGGCAGCCCCCUGGGCCAAUACUGACGCUCAUGCACGAAAGCGUGGGGAGCAAACAGGAUUAGAUACCCCUGGUAGUCCACGCCCCUAAAACGAUGUCAACUAGUUGUUGGGGGAUUCAUUUCCUUAGUAACGUAGCUAACGCGUGAAGUUGACCGCCUGGGGAGUACGGUCGCAAGAUUAAAACUCAAAUGAAUUGACGGGGUCAUAGCUGUUUCCU